GAUGAAGAACGUAGCGAAAUGCGAUAAGUAAUGUGAAUUGCAGAAUUCAGUGAAUCAUCGAAUCUUUGAACGCACAUUGCGCCCGCCAGUAUUCUGGCGGGCAUGCCUGUUCGAGCGUCAUUUCAACCCUCAAGACCCCUUCGGGGGACUUGGUGUUGGGGACCGGCAUAGGGGCCUUGCGCCCCUCGCCGCCCCCGAAAUGAAUUGGCGGCCUCGUCGCGGCCUCCCCUGCGUAGUAGCACAACCUCGCAACGGGAACGUGACGGCGGCCACUGCCGUAAAACAACCCAAUUUUAUUAGAGUUGACCUCGAAUCAGGUAGGAAUACCCGCUGAACUUAAGCAUAUCAAUAAGCGGAGGA
rnacentral:misc_RNA from 1 species